GAUGAACGCUGGCGGCGUGCCUAAUACAUGCAAGUCGAGCGAACAGACGAGGAGCUUGCUCCUCUGACGUUAGCGGCGGACGGGUGAGUAACACGUGGAUAACCUACCUAUAAGACUGGGAUAACUUCGGGAAACCGGAGCUAAUACCGGAUAAUAUAUUGAACCGCAUGGUUCAAUAGUGAAAGACGGUUUUGCUGUCACUUAUAGAUGGAUCCGCGCCGCAUUAGCUAGUUGGUAAGGUAACGGCUUACCAAGGCAACGAUGCGUAGCCGACCUGAGAGGGUGAUCGGCCACACUGGAACUGGGACACGGUCCAGACUCCUACGGGAGGCACCAGUAGGGAAUCUUCCGCAAUGGGCGAAAGCCUGACGGAGCAACGCCGCGUGAGUGAUGAAGGUCUUCGGAUCGUAAAACUCUGUUAUUAGGGAAAAACAAAUGUGUAAGUAACUAUGCACGUCUUGACGGUACCUAAUCAGAAAGCCACGGCUAACUACGUG
rnacentral:rRNA from 1 species